UGCAAGCUGCCUGCGGAGCCAGCAUGUGCUCUUCACGUGUGUCUGCCCGAUGGAGGUGUGCUGCCUGCCCAGCCUGGGGGCCUGCUUGCACCCUGGACCACAGUCCCUUGCUUUCCUCUGGCUCAGCACAGCGUCCCCCUGCAGAAGGAAGAACCUGGUGACACUUCAGCUCCCCUUGGUCAUUCGAGCUGUGGAGGCCAUCUCCAGCUUCCAGCUGUGUGCAGUCUUCCCAGGAUCUGCAAUAAAGCAAGCAGCCCUUUAAUAUUUAA